rnacentral:rRNA from 1 species
UACAGAGGGGGCAAGCGUUGUUCGGAAUUACUGGGCGUAAAGGGCGCGUAGGCGGCCUGUUAAGUCGAACGUGAAAUCCCCGGGCUCAACCCGGGAACUGCGUCCGAUACUGGCAGGCUUGAAUCCGGGAGAGGGAUGUGGAAUUCCAGGUGUAGCGGUGAAAUGCGUAGAUAUCAGGAGGAACACCGGUGGCGAAGGCGGGUCUCUGGGCAGUAACUGACGCUGAGGAGCGAAAGCGUGGGGAGCGAACAGG